UACAGAGGGGGCCGGCGUUAUUCGGAAUUAUUGGGCGUAAAGGGCGCGUAGGCGGCCAUGCGUGUCUCCCGUGAAAUCCCUCGGCUCAACCGAGGACGUGCGGAAGAAACUGCAAGGCUCGAGUCCGGAAGAGGGGGGCGGAAUUCCCAGUGUAGCGGUGAAAUGCGUAGAUAUUGGGAGGAACACCAGUGGCGAAGGCGGUCCCCUGGGCCGGAACUGACGCUGAGGCGCGAAAGCGUGGGUAGCAAACGGG
rnacentral:rRNA from 1 species